AGAGUUUGAUCAUGGCUCAGGAUGAACGCUGGCGGUAUGCUUAACACAUGCAAGUCGAACGAAGUAGCAAUACUUAGUGGCGGACGGGUGAGUAACGCGUAAGAAUCUGCCCCCAGGUUCGGGAUAACGGGAGGAAACUGCCGCUAAUACCGGAUGUGUCUGGGAAGAGAAAGGUUAACUGCCUGGGGAUGAGCUUGCGUCAGAUUAGCUAGUUGGAGUGGUAAGAGCACACCAAGGCGACAAUCUGUAGCGGGUUUGAGAGGAUGACCCGCCACACUGGGACUGAGACACGGCCCAGACUCCUACGGGAGGCAGCAGUGGGGAAUUUUCCGCAACGGGCGAAAGCCUGACGAAGCAAUACCGCGUGAGGGACGAAGGUCUGUGGAUUGUAAACCUCUUUUCUCUGGGACGAUGAUGACGGUACCAGAGGAAUAAGCAUCGGCUAACUCCGUGCCAGCCGCCGCGGUAAUUC
rnacentral:rRNA from 1 species